rnacentral:ribozyme from 1 species
AAAAGAAAGAAAAGAAAGAAAAAGAAAAGCGAAAAAGGAUUAAGGGAGGUGAUCGAAGGUAUUCAAUGAUGGAUGUCUCUCCGUCUCAUUC